rnacentral:rRNA from 1 species
UACGUAGGGUGCGAGCGUUGUCCGGAAUUACUGGGCGUAAAGAGCUCGUAGGCGGCCAACUAAGUCAGACGUGAAAUCCCUCGGCUUAACCGGGGGAACUGCGUCUGAUACUGGAUGGCUUGAGUUUGGGAGAGGGAUGCGGAAUUCCAGGUGUAGCGGUGAAAUGCGUAGAUAUCAGGAGGAACACCAAUGGCGAAGGCAGCUCACUGGGACGGUACUGACGCUGAGGCGCGAAAGCGUGGGGAGCAAACAGG